rnacentral:lncRNA from 1 species
ACUAGCAUAAAAAGUUAAGAAACAAAAACAGAAGAUAAAGGAUAUAUUUUGAAAUGAGAUGGCAUGGAUCUUUUAAAAGUCUGUAUUUCCUGGAGAUGGCAAAUGUAACAGGUCUUCUGAGUAAUUAUUUGAGAGGCUCGGACUGCAGAGAGCUGUUUAUCCUAACCUAAGGUUUUCUCUCAUUUCUUUGAUUAUUGAAAAAACAUAAACAA